rnacentral:rRNA from 1 species
GCGUCCCCAUCAGCUUGUUGGUGAGGUAACGGCUCACCAAGGGUACGCCGGGUAGCUGGUCUGAGAGGAUGAUCAGCCUCACUGGGGCUGAGACACGGACCAGAAUCCUACGGGAGGCAGCAGUGGGGAAUAUUGGACAAUGGGCGCAAGCCUGAUCCACGCCAUGCCGCGCGAGUGAAGAAGGUCCCUAGGGUUGUAAAGCUCUUUCAGCGGGGAAGAUAAUGACGGUACCCGCAGAAGAAGCCCCGGCUUAACUCCGUGCCAGCAGCCGCGGUAAGACGGAGGGGGCUAGCGUUGCUCCGGAAUUUACUGGGCGUAAAGCGCGCGUAGGCGGCACGGCAAUUAGCGCUGGAAAAACUCAAGGCUCAACCCCCGGAACAGCGCAUAGAAACUAUAGUUCAUGUAGUCCCGGGGGAGGGUGCGGGAUUCCCCAGCUAGGAGUGAAAUUUGUUAAUUAUUGGAAAGACCACUACGGGGGAGGCCGCUUCUCGGUCCCGCGACCUCUCUUUAAGUCCCGAAUCGGUGGGGAGCAAACAGGAUUAGAUGCCUUGGUUGUC